rnacentral:rRNA from 1 species
UACGUAGGGGUCGAGCGUUGUCCGGAGUUACUGGGCGUAAAGGGCGCGUAGGCGGUUAUCUGCGUCACACGUGAAAGCCCCUGGCUCAACCAGGGAGGGUCGUGUGAAACGGGGUAACUGGAGGCAGAGAGAGGCUGGUGGAAUUCCCGGAGUAGUGGUGAAAUGCGUAGAGAUCGGGAGGAACACCGGUGGCGAAGGCGGCCAGCUGGCUCUGACCUGACGCUGAGGCGCGAAGGCGUGGGGAGCGAACGGG